GUGACCAACUAAAUAAAUACUUGGCCAUUGGUGUGUAAUGUUUUUUUUGAACCAGCGAACGUGAUUCUGGGAUUUAAUAUUUAAUAAAAAGUGCGGAAAGUGACGAUCCCAGGGUCACUGUUGAUAACUGGAAACCAAAGAUUUGGAGCUGUAUUUCGUUAUAGCGUGUGGGAUCGCCGCCGGUGCAUUUUUAAUACUUUUCAUUUUGGUGUGCAUGCUAUUUGUCAAACUGAAUCGAUUGAACGCGGACGGCUGCAUAGCCGACGUUUCGUUUUGUUGGGACGAGCCACGUUUCCGACGAUGUAGGCCAAAUAUCGGAAUAUGUCACGUCCAAUCAACUAAAUAGACAAUCUAGCAUGAUGGCAGACUUUUGUUACACGAAUCCUACGAUUGU